UACGUAGGGGGCAAGCGUUGUCCGGAUUUAUUGGGCGUAAAGAGCGUGUAGGCGGCUUGGUAGGUCCGCUGUGAAAACUCGAGGCUCAACCUCGAGAUGUCGGCGGAAACCACUUGGCUAGAGUCCGGAAGAGGAGAGUGGAAUUCCCGGUGUAGCGGUGAAAUGCGCAGAUAUCGAGAAGAACACCUAUGGCGAAGGCAGCUCUCUGGGACGGUACUGACGCUGAGACGCGAAAGCGUGGGGAGCGAACAGG
rnacentral:rRNA from 1 species